AGUCAAAGAAAAAGAAGAAACUAAGCACAGAGAUAAGAAUGGCUGUGAUGAUCAUGAUGAUUACAGUGCCGUUUCCACCAGGAGCUCCAGACUGAGUGAUGACAGCAGAGCAUCUCGUGCAUCCAGAUUAGCCCUGCAGCCGGCAUCUAUGCUUCUUCUGACUUGUACAGUCUCACUGACUUGUCUCUGCUCGAGUCCCAAGUUC